rnacentral:rRNA from 1 species
GACGAACGCUGGCGGCGUGCUUAACACAUGCAAGUCGAACGGAAAGGCCCUGCUUUUGUGGGGUGCUCGAGUGGCGAACGGGUGAGUAACACGUGAGUAACCUGCCCUUGACUUUGGGAUAACUUCAGGCAACUGGGGCUAAUACCGGAUAGGAGCUCCUGCUGCAUGGUGGGGGUUGGAAAGUUUCGGCGGUUGGGGAUGGACUCGCGGCUUAUCAGCUUGUUGGUGGGGUAGUGGCUUACCAAGGCUUUGACGGGUAGCCGGCCUGAGAGGGUGACCGGCCACAUUGGGACUGGAAUACGGCCCAGACUCCUACGGGAGGCAGCAGGGGGGAAUUUUUCACAAUGGGCGGAAGCCUGAUGCAGCAACGCCGCGUGCGGGAUGACGGCCUUCGGGGUGUAAACCGCUUUCGCCUGUGACGAAGCGUGAGUGACGGUAAUGGGUAAAGAAGCACCGGCUAACUACGUG